AACACUGUUAACCUGCGGUACCUGCGGAGGGAUCAUUAACAAGCUGUGGGAGAUCGAUCAAUUUGAUCUCACACCUGGCCAACCUUGUUAACCUUAAAUAUAUUGCUUUGGUGAGCCCUGCUCACCAAAGUCAAACCCUAAACUCUUGAUUGUUUCUGCUGUCUGAGCAUGCAAGUGCAAAAUUUAGUUAAAAACUUUUAACAAUGGAUCU
rnacentral:misc_RNA from 1 species